rnacentral:rRNA from 1 species
AACGGGUGAGUAACGCGUAGACAACCUACCAUUUAGAGAGGGAUAAUUCAUUGAAAAGUGGACUAAUACCUCAUGUGCUCUUUUGUCGGCAUCGAUAAGAGAGGAAAGACUACGAGUCGUUAAAUGAUGGGUCUGCGUAUCAUUAGCUAGUUGGUAAGGUAACGGCUUACCAAGGCAUCGAUGAUUAGCUGGUCUGAGAGGAUGAUCAGCCACACUGGGACUGAGAUACGGCCCAGACUCC